CAGCGUUCACCCACACAGAGGACAACCUUGCACGUUAGGGCCACGCAUUUGAACCGGCUAGCAGGGAGCCAGGCCUGGGUGGGGGGAGGGCUGGCCACCCCUCUGGUCUCCCUGCCCUGGUGGCCUGCAGUUCUUGCCCCUUUUAGCCUGGAGACCGCUGUAGCCUCGAUUUCCCUCAGGGCACACACCAGCAAGCCCAGGUGCACUUGAGGGUGCCCCUGGCCUUUCUGUCACUGGGCACAUAACUCGUGUUCCUCCUCUGCCAGGCCCUGUGCCAGGCGCCGGGGAGACAGUGUGGAGCCAAACACGUCGUCUGGCCUUUGCCUGCACGCUAGUACUGGAGACGACCAGCGUUAGUGCCACAUAGAUAAAGGUCACAUCACAAGCUUUCAGGUUCCCUUCUGCAGUGAAGAGGACAGGGGGGCUGUCUUCAUUUCCUGAGCGUCAGGGCGUGGAUGUUUGUUGAGUGAGCUGCUCCUUCCGCAAAGCAUUUCUAGUGCAUUAAAUUCUUACUGGAGCCCCGGAGGAAACCGAGGCCCAGAGACA